rnacentral:rRNA from 1 species
AUUGAACGCUGGCGGCAUGCCUUACACAUGCAAGUCGAACGGCAGCACGGGGGCAACCUUGGUGGCGAGUGGCGAACGGGUGAGUAAUAUAUCGGAACGUGCCUAGAGUGGGGGAUAACGUAGCGAAAGUUACGCUAAUACCGCAUACGAUCUACGGAUGAAAGUGGGGGACCGCAAGGCCUCAUGCUCGUGGAGCGGCCGAUAUCUGAUUAGCUAGUUGGUGGGGUAAAGGCCUACCAAGGCGACGAUCAGUAGCUGGUCUGAGAGGACGACCAGCCACACUGGGACUGAGACACGGCCCAGACUCCUACGGGAGGCAGCAGUGGGGAAUUUUGGACAAUGGGGGCAACCCUGAUCCAGCAAUGCCGCGUGAGUGAAGAAGGCCUUCGGGUUGUAAAGCUCUUUUGUCAGGGAAGAAACGGUGAGGGCUAAUAUCCUUUGCUAAUGACGGUACCUGAAGAAUAAGCACCGGCUAACUACGUGCCAGCAGCCGCCGUAA